AGUGAACGCUGGCGGCAGGCCUAACACAUGCAAGUCGAACGAGUGGCGGACGGGUGAGUAAUGUCUGGGAAACUGCCUGAUGGAGGGGGAUAACUACUGGAAACGGUAGCUAAUACCGCAUACCAUCAGAUGUGCCCAGAUUGGAGUAGCUCGUUGGUGGGGUAACGGCUCACCAAGGCGACGAUUCCUAGCUGGUAUGAGAGGAGGAACAGCCACACGUGAACUGAGACACAGUCCAGGCUCCAACGGUAGGCAGCAGUGGGGAAUAUUGCACAAUGGGCGCAAUCCUGAUGCAGCCAUGCCGCGUAUAUGAAGAAGGCCUUCGGGUUGUAAAGUACUUUCAGCGUGGAGGCGUUACCCGCAGAAGAAGCACCGGCUAACUCCGUGCCAGCAGCCGCGGUAAUUC
rnacentral:rRNA from 1 species